rnacentral:rRNA from 2 species
UCGAACGAACUCUGGUAUUGAUUGGUGCUUGCAUCAUGAUUUACAUUUGAGUGAGUGGCGAACUGGUGAGUAACACGUGGGAAACCUGCCCAGAAGCGGGGGAUAACACCUGGAAACAGAUGCUAAUACCGCAUAACAACUUCCACCGCAUGGUCCGAGUUUGAAAGAUGGCUUCGGCUAUCACUUCUGGAUGGUCCCGCGGCGUAUUAGCUAGAUGGUGAGGUAAAGGCUCACCAAGGCAAUGAUACGUAGCCGACCUGAGAGGGUAAUCGGCCACAUUGGGACUGAGACACGGCCCAAACUCCUACGGGAGGCAGCAGUAGGGAAUCUUCCACAAUGGACGAAAGUCUGAUGGAGCAACGCCGCGUGAGUGAAGAAGGGUUUCGGCUCGUAAAACUCUGUUGUUAAAGAAGAACAUAUCUGAGAGUAACUGUUCAGGCAUUGACGGUAUUUAACCAGAAAGCCACGGCUAACUACGUGCCAGCAGCCGCGGUAAUACGUAGGUGGCAAGCGUUAUCCGGAUUUAUUGGGCGUAAAGCGAGCGCAGGCGGUCUUUUAAGUCUGAUGUGAAAGCCUUCGGCUCAACCGAAGAAGUGCAUCGGAAACUGGGAAACUUGAGUGCAGAAGAGGACAGUGGAACUCCAUGUGUAGCGGUGAAAUGCGUAGAUAUAUGGAAGAACACCAGUGGCGAAGGCGGCUGUCUGGUCUGUAACUGACGCUGAGGCUCGAAAGUAUGGGUAGCAAACAGGAUUAGAUACCCUGGUAGUCCAUACCGUAAACGAU